rnacentral:rRNA from 1 species
UUCGAAAGAAGGGGGUGCCCGCAAGGGAGCGCGGAGACAGGUGGUGCAUGGCUGUCGUCAGCUCGUGUCGUGAGAUGUUGGGUUAAGUCCCGCAACGAGCGCAACCCUCACCUCUUGUUGCCAUCAGGUCAUGCUGGGCACUCUAGAGGAACUGCCCCGGUCAACGGGGAGGAAGGCGGGGAUGACGUCAAGUCAUCAUGCCCCUUACGUCCUGGGCUACACACGUGCUACAAUGGCCGGUACAAAGGGAUGCCACACCGCGAGGUAGAGCUAAACCCAAAAAGCCGGUCUAAGUUCAGAUUGGAGUCUGCAACUCGACUCCAUGAAGGAGGAAUCGCUAGUAAUCGCGUAUCAGCACGACGCGGUGAAUACGUUCCCGGGCCUUGUACACACCGCCCGUCACACCACGAAAGCCCG